rnacentral:sRNA from 12 species
UAUUGUAAGCAUAAGUCCUUUAUAGAUUGUUCUAGAUGUUCCCAUCCAUCGGUUGGCUAUAGUCUAGGCACCACAAAUCUGUAGGGCAGCUUCCCCG